UGCCGAACAGUCAAGGUGUUGUGUACAAAGGCAUUCUGUUAACGAGCCAAGACACAACUAGAGAUGUGAUCUCAAAAAUUAUGAGAAAAUAUGAUCUGGACAUGGAGGAAGCUGGAAACUACCAACUUGUGCAGGUCAUUUCGGAACACAAAGAGCUAGUCUUCCCACAGGAAGCAAAUGUGCUUUCUUAUAUGAACAGCCAGGGGAACGCAGACAUCAGCCAAAGAAGAAAGCCAGCUUUCCCUGUCUCCCCAUUGUCUGCUGCAGACAAGAAAAAGAGGAGGCGCCUACCUCGCCUCUUUAGAGGCAGCAGGGUCAGACCCGAAUGAGAGCAUCCUGACAAGGAGCUGACACGAAUACCAUUCUCAGGCUGGGGGAGACUGGGAACCUGUGGGGGGUUGGGGUGCAGGCAUGGGAGGGAUGGGGUCAGGUGGGAAUGGGGAGCAGAAGGGAAUAUAAUUUAUGUUCAGGAGGGAUGUUGGGCACAAGGAGUGGGAGGGAGAGGG